rnacentral:rRNA from 1 species
GAUGAACGCUGGCGGCGUGCCUAACACAUGCAAGUCGAACGUGAAAGUUAAGAUGAGGGCUUCGGUUUGAUUCUUGAUUGGAAAGUGGCGAACGGGUGAGUAACACGUAGGUGAUCUGCCUCGAAGUGGGGGAUAACCAUUGGAAACGAUGGCUAAUACCGCAUAGUUCUGUUGGUAUGGGAAUAUUGACAGGUAAAGCUCUGGCGCUUCGAGAGGAGCCUGCGUCCGAUUAGCUAGUUGGGGGGGUAAAGGCCCACCAAGGCGACGAUCGGUAGCUGGUCUGAGAGGACGAUCAGCCACACGGGAACUGAGACACGGUCCCGACUCCUACGGGGGGCAGCAGUGAGGAAUAUUGCACAAU